AGUGAACGCUGGCGGCAGGCCUAACACAUGCAAGUCGAACGGCAGCACAGUAAGAGCUUGCUCUUACGGGUGGCGAGUGGCGGACGGGUGAGGAAUACAUCGGAAUCUACUUUUUCGUGGGGGAUAACGUAGGGAAACUUACGCUAAUACCGCAUACGACCUACGGGUGAAAGCAGGGGAUCUUCGGACCUUGCGCGAUUGAAUGAGCCGAUGUCGGAUUAGCUAGUUGGCGGGGUAAAGGCCCACCAAGGCAACGAUCCGUAGCUGGUCUGAGAGGAUGAUCAGCCACACUGGAACUGAGACACGGUCCAGACUCCUACGGGAGGCAGCAGUGGGGAAUAUUGGACAAUGGGCGCAAGCCUGAUCCAGCCAUACCGCGUGGGUGAAGAAGGCCUUCGGGUUGUAAAGCCCUUUUGUUGGGAAAGAAAAGCAGCAGGUUAAUACCCCGCUGUUCUGACGGUACCCAAAGAAUAAGCACCGGCUAACUUCGUG
rnacentral:rRNA from 1 species